rnacentral:rRNA from 1 species
UACGUAGGGUGCAAGCGUUGUCCGGAAUUAUUGGGCGUAAAGAGCUCGUAGGCGGUGUGUCACGUCGGCCGUGAAAACCUGCAGCUUAACUGUGGGCGUGCGGUCGAUACGAGCAGACUAGAGUGUUGCAGGGGAGACUGGAAUUCCUGGUGUAGCGGUGAAAUGCGCAGAUAUCAGGAGGAACACCGGUGGCGAAGGCGGGUCUCUGGGCAACAACUGACGCUGAGGAGCGAAAGCGUGGGGAGCGAACAGG